UACGUAGGGACCGAGCGUUGUCCGGAAUCAUUGGGCGUAAAGAGCGUGUAGGCGGCCACUUAAGUCCUGCGUGAAAUCUUGCGGCUCAACCGCAAGCGGUCGUGGGAAACUGGGUGGCUAGAGUGCGGGAGAGGAGAGUGGAAUUCCUGGUGUAGCGGUGGAAUGCGCAGAUAUCAGGAAGAACACCCGUGGCGAAGGCGGCUCUCUGGAACGCAACUGACGCUGAGACUCGAAAGCGUGGGGAGCAAACAGG
rnacentral:rRNA from 1 species